UUUAAUUUUGGUGUUUAGGUUGGAAUUAACUUGCGGGUAUUGUCGAGUUUAGCUCAUUAGAGCUAUGGGUUAGAUUAAAAUUGGUUGUUGACUGGAGUCGAUUUGAGAAUUUGGGAAGCUUGUGAUAAAGUCUUGGAGGCUGGGUUUUGCUUGAAAAGAAGCAGGAAUUUCAAAGUUUGGGGUGUAAAAUAUAAGAGAGGUGUUCCGGGUUUAUCGGAGAAUGGGCCAAGAUGCAGGACGUGAGACACCUCGCUGAGGCAUACUGAAAGCUUCUGAUAGCAGAGAUCUUUGUCUUUGGAACUUUAUUUUGAAUAUAUGUAUAUAUGUAGAUACUUUUAUCUCCACUACUUAUGUACUGAUGUAUUAACUUCCUCUUAGAAGUUAUUUUGGAGAAAUAGGUUCU